rnacentral:rRNA from 1 species
CCUCAGUAGUUAGAUAACAAAACUACUCGCCAGAAUACUACAAGCAACAGCUUGAAACUCAAAGGACUUGACGGUGCUUUACAUCCCCCUAGAGGAGCCUGUUCCAUAAUCGAUAAACCCCGAUCCACCCUACCCUCUCUUGCUCAGCCUAUAUACCGCCAUCUUCAGCAAACCCUAAUGAGGGCCACAAAGUGAGCGCAAACGCCCCCACCGCGAAUACGUUAGGUCAAGGUGUAGCCCAUGAGACGGUAAAAAAUGGGCUACAUUUUCUAUUUCAGAAAACCCACGAAAACCCUUAUGAAACUUAAGGGUCCAAGGAGGAUUUAGCAGUAAAUUAAGAAUAGAGUGCUUAAUUGAACCAGGCCAUAAAGCG